UUGACCUCAAAUCAGGUAGGACUACCCGCUGAACUUAAGCAUAUCAAUAAGCGGAGGAAAAGAAACUAACAAGGAUUCCCCUAGUAACUGCGAGUGAAGAGGGAAAAGCUCAAUUUAAAAUCUGG
rnacentral:rRNA from 1 species